rnacentral:rRNA from 1 species
UAGCGUAGGGGCAAGCGUUGUCCGGAUUAUUGGCGUAAAGAGCGUGUAGGCGGCCAGACAGGUCAGCUGUGAAAACUCGAGGCUCAACCUCGAGACGUCGGUUGAAACCGUCUGGCUAGAGUCCGGAAGAGGAGAGUGGAAUUCCCGGUGUAGCGGUGAAAUGCGCAGAUAUCGGGAAGAACACCCGUGGCGGAAGGCGGCUCUCUGGGACGGUACUGACGCUGAGACGCGAAAGCGUGGGGAGCGAACAGG